AUGUCUAUGCAGUUUCAAGACGAUGAAGGUGAGAUACCUCCUUCUGAGGCUGAAAGUAGGAAUGAAAGGCCCCAAAGGAUAAAGCACCCUUCAGCCAAGAUGCUAGCCCAUCUAAUAGACGAAAAGGAGCUCCUCCAUGUGAGGUUAGGUUCGGCAUGGGAGCGCAUUGUAACAUUAAUGGGCAGAAUAGAGUGCUUGGGUAUUACAAGGGUGCCAUCCAUAUUACAGUCAGACCUCGAGGAGACCUUCGGUCUUUGGAGGGAUUUGGUGACUAAGAUAGUCCAGGUCCUCGAGCGCAUUAACGCCAAGGAUUCAGAGUUAGAAAUAGUGAGUGUCUUAGCCGAUACUAAUGAGAAAGAAAAUAGAGUGAGGGCAAUUCUAGAUGCCUUGGAAUUUAGUUCUCCACCUAUUAAUCUAAGGUCUGAGCCAAAAAGAAAUCAGUCUUCCUUAUGUAGCCAUGAGACCAACCUUCUAAAAUCGCCUGCUGCGGCGCUUAGUCUUAAGUCCAACCGCUCUAGCCAGGUAUCUAAGUUAAGGGAGCGUGCUUCGUCUAAACACAGCCACUCUAACAAGUCUUCCGCUGCUGGGAGUGCCAUCUCUUCCCUAGCUGCCCUGCACAUUAAGGAGGCUGCGCGUCUUGAGCUACAGAGCAAGGUUGCGGAGGCGGAAGCUGAUGCAAAGACAGCUGACUACAACCUCCACUUUCAAAUAGAACAGGCCCUAAGUGGGCAACUCACAGAAGAAAAUGUAAGUCAGUUGCCAAAGCAGGACCCUUCUUCCAAGGUGCUUGUGCAUCUUAAUAGCUUAAACAGCCAGCUUUCUGACGAGGACACCGACAAGCCGGCCGCACCAGAGAUGCAGGUGGAGGUUUCAGCAGUCGCCUGUACAGAGCUGUGUUCUGACUCGCACCAGUACAGAGUUUGUCAUCCUAUCUGCCUAGCGGAUGUAUAUCCAGCCAAGAGCCCUUGGCUUAGAAAGAGACUCUAUGUGGCCCUGGAUUCACAGAGCGACGCCUCCCUGGCUACUCCAGAGUUCUUCCGCAUGUUUGACUUUAAAACCAAGAUGGUCGACUACACCAUGACUACAUGUGCAGGAAAAAAGAAGUUGCAGGGUCGCAUAGCAUCUGGCUUUGUUGUCUCCUCUUGCGACCAGAAGAGACAGUUCAAGCUGCCAGACCUGAUUGAGUGUUCCUCCAUCCCUUGGAACAAAAAGCAAAUUGCAACUAAAGAAGUUGUGGAGACUCAUCCACAUUUGCGAUGA
rnacentral:lncRNA from 1 species